GCCUCGGUAGCUCAGGGGUAGAGCACCACCUCGGUAAGGUGGGAGUCGUGGGUUCAAAUCCCACCCGAGGCU
rnacentral:tRNA from 1 species